UUAUGUAGAGGAAAUGUAAAAAAUUGAUAAAUAAUUGGAUCUUAUGAGUAGACUAACUGCAUAUGUCUCAUGUGCAGUAAAUGGUAAAGGGAUGGAUAGUGGAUGCAGGUGUGAACAAAGUACCAGGUGAUCAACGAACAUGAAUCCUAUCUCAUAGAGUUCAUGCUGCUUGUUCAUGUUCUCCCACAUCCGUGUGAUGCGCACAACAGCACACCUCGGAGAUCCUAAAGGUGAACAGUAAAGUGCAGACUAUUGGACAGAUCUAAGCCAGGAAAUAAGUGCAAACAAUCAGGAUCAGG